UGCAUUGGAAACUGGGAGACUUGAGUGCAGAAGAGGACAGUGGAACUCCAUGUGUAGCGGUGAAAUGCGUAGAUAUAUGGAAGAACACCAGUGGCGAAGGCGGCUGUCUGGUCUGUAACUGACGCUGAGGCUCGAAAGCAUGGGUAGCGAACAGGAUUAGAUACCCUGGUAGUCCAUGCCGUAAACGAUGAUUACUAAGUGUUGGAGGGUUUCCGCCCUUCAGUGCUGCAGCUAACGCAUUAAGUAAUCCGCCUGGGGAGUACGACCGCAAGGUUGAAACUCAAAAGAAUUGACGGGGGCCCGCACAAGCGGUGGAGCAUGUGGUUUAAUUCGAAGCUACGCGAAGAACCUUACCAGGUCUUGACAUCUUCUGCCAACCUAAGAGAUUAGGCGUUCCCUUCGGGGACAGAAUGACAGGUGGUGCAUGGUUGUCGUCAGCUCGUGUCGUGAGAUGUUGGGUUAAGUCCCGCAACGAGCGCAACCCUUAUUACUAGUUGCCAGCAUUCAGUUGGGCACUCUAGUGAGACUGCCGGUGACAAACCGGAGGAAGGUGGGGACGACGUCAAAUCAUCAUGCCCCUUAUGACCUGGGCUACACACGUGCUACAAUGGAUGGUACAACGAGUCGCGAAACCGCGAGGUUUAGCUAAUCUCUUAAAACCAUUCUCAGUUCGGACUGUAGGCUGCAACUCGCCUACACGAAGUCGGAAUCGCUAGUAAUCGCGGAUCAGCAUGCCGCGGUGAAUACGUUCCCGGGCCUUGUACACACCGCCCGUCACACCAUGAGAGUUUGUAACACCCAAAGCCGGUGGGGUAACC
rnacentral:rRNA from 1 species